GUCCACGUGACUAAGCCUCGUCUGUAUCCGUGGAUGAGUGCAUCGCGUCGUACGGUGGCUGUAAUACCACUACCAAGCUACACUUAAGCACACUAGGCACCUGGGCAAGAAACGCUUCUUCUUGAAAUUCACGAGUGUUACUAUCCUGGCCAUGAUGUGAGAAGCUAUACAGGAAUUUAAGAGUAAUGGAAUAUAUUAUGAAGCAAAGAAGGCUGUUUUGUUAAUGAAUGGGGCUACAGUAUCUCUCCAUGUAAAAGCAGUGAAUUUUGUGGCUUUCUCAACAUGGCUGAUGAGGUAUGAAGAUUUGGACUUCUGACCAUGUCAUUACAGUAAAUGUGUUGUGCUUAAUGGGAAAAAUAAGAAACUCUAUAAAAACACUGUGCACAUUAAUUGUUACAUCUCAAGUUGACUUUUAAAAAAACUGUUGAUCAAAUAUAAGUGGUUUUUGAUACAAAAACAC